CCAGGAGGCGCCCGCGGAAGGGCCUGCUCCCAGAGGCACGGGCGCUCGGGAGGAGACGCGGGCUCGGCUCGCGUUCUCACGCACACUCAACACGCGCCCCGCCGGCCGGCCGGCCUCGCGCUCUUGCAAAGGGAUCGGGCCGGAUCCCCCGCGAUCUCCUUGUCGCCGGAGGGGCAGAAGGCGCCGAGGGAGACUUUUCCUGCCCCCUUCCUCACCCCACCUUCUCCCUCCCAAGCCACCCCGACAGCCUCCCGGGUGGAGUGGUUCUUAACAGUUCAACAGUUCUGUAGCAUAAUUGUGAAAUGUUUAGGACCACUUGACCCGGGCCGGCCUGGGCACCGCCGGGGAGAUGCCGCCGCCCGCCGGAUCGGGACCGGGGAGAGAGGGGGAGGAGAGGCGAGACUCGGUUCGGCUGGAGGAAGACCUCGAUGGGGAGAAAGUGACCCGAGGAAAGGGCCCUCCAGCCACGCAGCCGGCAGAACGGGGCAAGCUACAUGUCUGGGCCAUUUAGGCAGGGCAGGAGGGAAAGGCGCACAAAGUUCAGAAAGAAUUCGGAUUUUUAAAUCCCUGCUCCUUGCAAGCGGUUAAGCCAAAGAGGUGGAGAACAUUCAAGGACGGAGACUGGAAGUUUGGUGUCAGCAUGUAAAAGGCUCCACACCUAUCAAAGGAAUGUCAGAUUUACAUUUUGUGUGUGUGCAAAGUUUCUAGUCCUCAGGGAGUUCCCUCAGUUUCAGUUAUAUGGGUCUUCCUUGCUCAUGACAUUUUGCAGAGGACCAAAAGACAGGUACUCUUCAGUUUUAAAUUUGAAACAAGGGAAACAUCAAGAGCAAUAGGCAGAGCAUUUUAGAAGGAUGCGUGCCAUCCUUGGGAAUGGAGCAGCAGCAGUGUUAGCUAAAAAAGACUGUUUCAGGUGGACAAUCAUGUUGGCCUGCUGUAGAACAACAGGAUUCGAAUCCAGCGGCAUCUUAGAGACCAACAAGAUUUUCAGGGUAUAGGUUUUCAAGAGUUAAAGCUCCCUUCUUCAGAUACCACACCAUAAAGAAAGGGAGCUUUGGCUCUAGAAAACCUAUACCCUGAAAAUCUUGUUGCUCUCUAAGAUGUCACUGGACUUAAAUCCUGCUGUUCUAAGCAAGACUGGUGUUGUAAAGCACUUGGUAUAUUAUUGAACAGUGCUAUAAAACAAUUCUGUGAAAACAGUCACCUUAGUGGUCCCAGAGGGUGCAAGGCAAGAAAUAGGUUCACACAACCAUUUUGGCUGGAGUAGUUGAUGGUGGGGGUGGGGUGGGCAUGCAAUGAGCCUGCAGGCUUUCAAGUUGCACAGAACUCGUUGUAGCUGAAUGCAAAGGAAUGCCAAAUUUUUGCCUAUACGGGAUGCAAGGUGCAUUUAUCACAGCACUCAUUGGCCCAAAGGAAUCUGUCGCAACUAGGCCGAUGGUGAAAUUGUCAUCAGACAGCAUUGCUGUGCGCUCAAAUUACUGGUGAGUGACCUCAUGACAGGCUGAACAAAUUGCUCCCUAGAUGCUGGGAAAUGGCAGGUGUCAAAAUAAAGGCUGAGCUGGCAGAUUUUUUCCCUACAUGCCAGUAGCUGGAUAGGAAAGCCAACAGGACUGCUCCGAAAGAAGGCAUUUGAGGCUUAAAGCCACUGUUGCAUACCGCUUAGUCCAGAACUGUUCCAGUCACAUUCAAUGGAACAGCGCUGCAGAAAAAUGCAUAAAACAAAAUGUGCCUUACACAACUUUGACUGAUUAGUUGGCAAAGCACUUGGAUGAUGUAUCUCAUGUGCUUGGAGAGCAACGAUCACAGGUUCCUAAGUUAUGUAGACUAGAACUGCGUGGCGGUCUAAUGAUCUAUUCCAUAACAAUGUUGCUGAAGCCAUUGCGGAAUUUGGGUGUUUGCAUGUGCUAAAUCACUAACCCUCCAGUCCUAACCAUCCUUGCUCAGGAGUAAACCUUACUGAUGUCUGGACAAUUGGCUUCCAGAUAUCCUUUGAAUCUGAGGUUAAUCGGUCAGAAGGAAAGAGCCUACAAUGAGAAAAAAAUGCAGGUCUUUUUGGAUUGUUUCACAAGGGUUUAUAAUGCUUGGAAUGGUUUGAUACUGAAUAUUUCAGACUGAUACAAGUGCUUCAGUUGAAUGAAUAUGGUAAAGGUCCAUAUUUGAUUCCAUCCAAUCGUUCUGUGUCUUAUUUGCCAUAGCUAACAUAUUACUCAAAUAAAAAUUAACAAGUGUG